rnacentral:rRNA from 1 species
UACGUAGGGGGCUAGCGUUGUCCGGAAUCAUUGGGCGUAAAGAGCGUGUAGGCGGCCCGGUAAGUCCGCUGUAAAAGUCAAAGGCUCAACCUUUGAAUGUCAGUGGAUACUGCCGGGCUAGAGUCCGGAAGAGGCGAGUGGAACUCCUGGUGUAGCGGUGAAAUGCGCAGAUAUCAGGAAGAACACCAAUGGCGAAGGCAGCUCUCUGGGACGGUACUGACGCUGAGACGCGAAAGCGUGGGGAGCGAACAGG